rnacentral:rRNA from 1 species
AGUAAUACAUCGGAACGUGUCCUAUCGUGGGGGAUAACUGAUCGAAAGAUCAGCUAAUACCGCAUAAGACCUGAGGGUGAAAGUGGGGGAUCGCAAGACCUCACGCGAUUGGAGCGGCCGAUGCCCGAUUAGCUAGUUGGUGAGGUAAAGGCUCACCAAGGCGACGAUCGGUAGCUGGUCUGAGAGGACGACCAGCCACACUGGGACUGAGACACGGCCCAG